AACGAACGCUGGCGGCAUGCCUAACACAUGCAAGUCGAACGAUUGCCUUCGGGUGAUAGUGGCGCACGGGUGCGUAACGCGUGGGAAUCUGCCCUUAGGUUCGGAAUAACAGCUGGAAACGGCUGCUAAUACCGGAUGAUAUCGCGAGAUCAAAGAUUUAUCGCCUGAGGAUGAGCCCGCGUUGGAUUAGGUAGUUGGUGGGGUAAAGGCCUACCAAGCCGACGAUCCAUAGCUGGUCUGAGAGGAUGAUCAGCCACACUGGGACUGAGACACGGCCCAGACUCCUAGGGGAGGCAGCAGUGGGGAAUAUGGGAAAAGGGGCGCAAGCCUGAUCCAGCAAUGCCGGGUGAGUGAGGAAGGCCAUAGGGUUGUAAAGCUUUUUUACCCGGGAAGAUAAUGACUGUACCGGGAGAAUAAGCCCCGGCUAACUCCGU
rnacentral:rRNA from 1 species